CUAUGAAAUUUUAUUUAUAAAAAAGUGGCAUCUACUCACAUAUGUCCCACCGAUUAGCCAAAGUGCUAGAUUGAUCUAGUAGAGACGAAACUUAUGAGAUCGUAGGUAUAUUUAGUUUGAAGAUAUCGGCAUUGAAAGGUGAGGUCAUGUUGUAUUACAUUAUAGGAUCUGUAAGUUGUAUGAUUUGUGCACGAGGUGCUACCCAAAAUUUUUCGAAAUUUGAAAGUUGCGCUCAAACCAGAGGUAGUAUUUCAAUGUGCCGCUAGACACCGUCUCUAGUCUAUCAAUCCGCGUUUGUUUACAUUGUGCGUUUUUGUGAUGUUAUGUUUGUGUUGUUUCACGAUGGUUAAAAAGAUUGACUUGAAAGAACAGAGUUUGUGUCAAAUUCUGUUUUGGCAAGACAGCUUUGGAAACUCAUCAAACAUUAAAACGAGCUUUUCGUGAGGAGACUAUGGAUCAAAACAAACAGACGAGUGGUUUAAGCGUUUCAAAAAACGGCAGACAUCCGCUGGAGACGAUUUCUGGCAUCAACACCAACGACGAAAAUGUUGCCAAAAUUCGCCAAAAAAUUCACGAAGUCCGUCAUCAAGCAUGAUUAUUUCGAAAGAGAUGAAAGCUAUUAAUUUUUUACGCACCCGCAAAGCCGUAUACCUCCAACACUCUGAUCUCAAAGUCACCACUAGGACAGAGGGGUGGAUUAUUAAAUGUCGAACAUCGAUCUGUCUUGCCGAAUCUUAUGUUUUCAUCCAUCCAGAUCGCCUGACCAUCUCUGAGAAUUAGAAACAAGAUGGAUCAAAAUGCUUACCCGCCACCGAUAGUUAUCAUUCUCGAAUCCGCGGCCAUAAAUAGUUCAGCCGAAUGAUGUACUCUGGAGUCAUUGUGCGAUGAAUCCAUGCCCACCCAAGGAUAUUUAGCUCGCUCAGGAUAUAAGCUGAACAGGAAUGUCUCGCCAGUACCAAAAUACGCUUGUCUGUGGCCUUUGUCAUCCUUCAAAUUACGCUCGCACCAUCUUGUCGAACAGUUUUUAUCAUCAGAAGAGUCGGCUCGUGUUGCUCAACUCGCACAUAGAACGUCGUUAACGAGCAUCCAUGUUCCUCGGUCGUGUACAACAAAAUAGGCUGAUACAUCGUGAUUCUCAUCGGUAGCCACGACCAUAAGAGUGCCGGCCAGAGUUGCGCCCUGAUGCCGUUGUUGAGCGGCCAACCGUUCUCCCGUAUUAUCAGCUUUACUUCCCGUUUUCUUGGCGGAUCGGCUUGUAGCAGUGCGUUAACCUCGGCAAAGGUCUUCAAGGUUUGCUU